rnacentral:rRNA from 1 species
AACGAACGCUGGCGGCAGGCCUAACACAUGCAAGUCGGACGAACCCUUCGGGGUUAGUGGCGGACGGGUGAGUAACGCGUGGGAAUAUACCCUUUGGUACGGAAUAGCCUCGGGAAACUGAGAGUAAUACCGUAUGUGCCCUUCGGGGAAGAUUUAUCGCCAAAGGAUUAGCCCGCGUUGGAUUAGGUAGUUGGUGGGGUAAUGGCCUACCAAGCCGACGAUCCAUAGCUGGUUUGAGAGGAUGAUCAGCCACACUGGGACUGAGACACGGCCCAGACUCCUACGGGAGGCAGCAGUGGGGAAUCUUAGACAAUGGGGGAAACCCUGAUCUAGCCAUGCCGCGUGAGUGAUGAAGGCCUUAGGGUUGUAAAGCUCUUUCAGAUGGGAAGAUAAUGACGGUACCAUCAGAAGAAGCCCCGGCUAACUCCGUG